rnacentral:rRNA from 1 species
AUUGAACACUGGCGGCGUGCUUAACACAUGCAAGUCGAUCGGUAACGCGGGGGCAACCCUGGCGACGAGAGGCGGACGGGUGAGGAACGCUUGGGAAUCUGCCUAUCAGCGGGGGACAACACGGGGAAACUCGUGCUAAUACCGCAUACGCUCGACGGAGGAAAGCCGGGGACCGCAAGGACUGGCACUGAUAGAUGAGCCCAAGCCGGGUUAGAUAGUUGGCGGGGUAAAGGCCCACCAAGGCGACGAUCCGUAGCUGGUCUGAGAGGACGAUCAGCCACACUGGAACUGAGACACGGUCCAGACUCCUACGGGAGGCAGCAGUGGGGAAUAUUGGACAAUGGGGGAAACCCUGGUCCAGCGACGCCGCGCGGGUGAAGAAGACCUGCGGGUUGUAAAGCCCUUUCGGUAGGGACGAAAGCUCUCGACCUAACACGUCGGGAGGUUGACUUAACCUACAGAAGAAGCACCGGCUAACUCUGUGCCAGCCGCCGCCGUAAUAC